CCUUUUCGUCUCCUCCCAAAUCCGAGCGAACACCAAAACCCCAGAGAUCCUGCGGCAACCAAGGAAGAGCAAAGCCAGCAGCGAGACGCUGAGGGCUCUUGGGGCGGCCAUGCGCCACAGCAUGGCGGGGCAGCAGUCGAUGGAUUGUUAGGUGACAUUGCUGAGCAUCUACUAAGUUCCUCCAUCCCUUAAACCAAACUCUCACCAUUAUGAAACAAAAACCUGGAAUUGCUGGUGACUGGCAUGAACCCGUGAUGCUUCUCGCUAAAAUUCCAAGCCAGGAAGGCUUCAAGAAUGGGCAAAAGGACGGCUGGCUUGAUUGCUGGUGGGGGUCAAGAUAAGUGGAGGCUUCAGAAAAAGCAUCCAACAGAAAUUGCUCAGAAGAUGAUGGAUGCAAUCAGACCAGUAUCUUUAGGCAUUAUGGAUUACAUAUGCAACAUCACACUACACAUCAUUCUCAUGGAACUAUUGCCUAAGCUAAAUGAAGAAAAAAACUUCAAAGAACAUCUGUUCUCAGACAAAGGUGAGCUAAAUCCAGUGAAGACAAACAGCCUUCCACUCAAAACUUGGAGCUGCAUCAGCAUAUUCCCAUGGUACACAUCUUCUUCUCUUCUAGUUCUGUAGCCAUUUGUUUGGACUGCUUUCCCGUGGCACUGCGAGUGUUUCCUGUGAAUCCAGCUCCUCUUCCUCCUCCUCAAUGGUGUCCAACAUCUGCGGAGCCUUGUGCUUGACAACUGCGAUCAGCUUCGGUGGCGCAACCUCUGUGACGAAGUGGAAGCCACAGCCUCUCACCAUCUCUGAAGCAAGGAUCGAACGCCGCAAGAUCAAAAGCUGAACAGAGAGGAUUUCAAGGAAGGAAGAACACCGAAGUCUUGAUAUCCUUGUGGUGCUCUCCAAUUACCCACCUGCAAUGUAUUUAAAUCAGCAGCAGGAAGAGAUCCGAGCGCUUAUACUAUUUUAUGCCCACAUGAUUUGUAUGUGCAAUUUACAGCCACAUGAUUCU